rnacentral:rRNA from 1 species
UUGUUAAGGAUAAGCUUAAUAAGAGAAUUUGGAGGGUGUUUGAAUUAAGGUCGAUUACGUAGGCUUGAAAUUAGUCAUCGUAACGAAACUUGUUUUAAAAUGGUCUACAAAAAUUAGAAAAUUUUAAUACUUUUGUUCUAUUCUAUAUAAGGGCGAAUAGAAAAACUGACAGUUUAAUCUGUGUAUGCUAAAAUGAGUAUUUUAUAAAAUUUAUACGAGGUGAUAAAUGUAAAGAACAUCUAUAAUAACAACAAUUUAUUUAUAAAAUAAAAGGAAGGAACUCGGCAAAUUCAAGCUCCGCCUGUUUAUCAAAAACAUGGCUCUUUGCUAUUUUAGUAUAAAGAGUCAGACCUGCCCAGUGAAAUUUUUAACGGCCGCGGUACCCUAACCGUGCAAAGGUAGCAUAAUCAUUUGCCUUAUAAUUGAAGGCUUGUAUGAAUGGUUUAACGAGAGCGCUGCUGUCUCCCCUUUAAUAUUUAGAACUUGACUUUUAGGUGAAGAGGCCUAAAUAUAAUUGAAAGACAAGAAGACCCUAUCGAGCUUAAAAAUUAAGUCGGAAAUAACUAUAAGAAUAACUUAAAUUUACUGCUGAUUAUUUUUUUGAUUGGGGCGAUCGAGGAACAAUAAAAGCUUCCUUUACCGCUUUAACGUAUAGGUUAGGAUCCAGCAAGGAGCUGAUUAAAAGAAUUAGUUACCGUAGGGAUAACAGCAUAAUCUCUCUUGAGAGACCUAAUCGAAAGGGGGGGUUGUGACCUCGAUGUUGGACUAGAAUAUCCUAAAGAUGCAGAAGUCAGU